CAGCCACUCUCUAUUUUUUUUUUCAGUUUGUCAUCAACUACCAUGUGAACAAACUGAAUAUCAGCCUGUCUGAACUACUGAAUAUGCUAAAAAUAGCAGAGAGCCAUUUCAAAGGUGAAAAGACUUCAAUUCUUCUUGUUGAUAAAAUCAAUAAAAAGAAAGGUAAGAAGGGUUCCAAGAAAAAGGUGAACCAUAAGGUUGGCAUCUCCAAGAAG
rnacentral:lncRNA from 1 species